UCUGCAUCAGUUCCUGCCUCCAGUUUCUGCCCUGUGUUAGUUCCUGUCCUCCCAUCACAUUAUGAACCCCUCAGUUGAUUCAUCCAAUGAAGAGGUCACAGUUCCCAGGGGUCAAUUCCUUCCUCAAUCCUCAAUGCUGAACUGGGUUAUGACUAGAAGCUGUUGGAGCUGUUGGAAGGGCUGAGAUUGCCAGGGUGCAGAAGAGAGUCAGUCACCAUUUUCAGUUCAAAAUCCUGGUUGCUAGAGCAAGACUCACAAAGCUCCAAGUGCUCCGGGUUCCUGGGGAGACAUCAUCUUUGUGUGAAGUUGUGUGGGAAGAAGAGAGAAAGAUCUCCCUCUGAAAGUUUCACACUGUCUCUCUGAUGUGGUACUCACUGGACUGCCCCAGGAGGACAUGUGGAGCACUUUUGCUGUAUCAGUUCAGAGGCUGCCACAUAAUCCUGGCUCAUCUUUUCACCAGUCUCCCCAGACCACACUGGGACCUCCUACCUCAGAAUCAUCAUCAGAUGGGAAGUCAAGUUGGAAUUUCUGACAGAGAAACUCAGAAACAGAGAUCACUGUUGACUUCAUAAAACUGAUAGGCCUGUCAUGUUUUCUUUGUAUUUUACCAUUUUCUCUGGAUGUCCCCUGUGCUGCAUAACAUUUUGGCAACGUGACA
rnacentral:lncRNA from 1 species